CCUACGGGCGACAGCAGUGAGGAAUAUUGGUCAAUGGACGAGAGUCUGAACCAGCCAAGUAGCGUGAAGGAUGACUGCCCUAUGGGUUGUAAACUUCUUUUAUAAAGGAAUAAAACGAGGCACGUGUGCCUUUUUGCAUGUACCUUAUGAAUAAGGAUCGGCUAACUCCGUGCCAGCAGCCGCGGUAAUACGGAGGGUCCGAGCGUUAUCCGGAUUUAUUGGGUUUAAAGGGAGCGUAGAUGGGUUGUUAAGUCAGUUGUGAAAGUUUGGGGCUCAACCGUAAAAUUGCAAUUGAUACUGGCAGUCUGGAGUGCAGUUGAGGUAGGCGGAAUUCGUGGUGUAGCGGUGAAAUGCAUAGAUAUCACGAAGAACCCCGAUUGCGAAGGCAGCUUACUAGACUGUGACUGACAUUGAUGCUCGAAAGUGUGGGUAUCAAACAGGAUUAGAUACCCGUGUAGUC
rnacentral:rRNA from 1 species